GAUGAACGCUGACAGAAUGCUUAACACAUGCAAGUCUUUGGCGAAGCUGUGCUUGCACAGCCUAGCCAAGGCGGACGGGUGAGUAACGCGUAAGGAACUUGCCCUGCAGUCAGGGAUAACAGACGGAAACGACUGAUAAGACCUGGUAAAGUCAGGCGGACUCAUGUCCAGCCUGAUGAAAAGAGAUGCUGCAGGAGAGCCUUGCGUCCUAUUAGCUUGUUGGUGGGGUAACGGCCCACCAAGGCGAUGAUAGGUAGCCGGCCUGAGAGGGUGGACGGCCACAAGGGGACUGAGAUACGGCCCUUACGCCUACGGGAGGAAGCAGUGGGGAAUAUUGGACAAUGGGGGCAACCCUGAUCCAGCAAUUCUGUGUGCACGAUGAAGGUUUUCGGAUUGUAAAGUGCUUUCAGCAGGGAAGAAAAAAAUGACGGUACCUGCAGAAGAAGCGACGGCUAAAUACGUG
rnacentral:rRNA from 1 species